AACUGACAGUGUUGAUCCAUCAGUGUUAACACAACUCUCAGAGAGUCAAUUAAUCUAAGCUCCGCCCAGGUUUCCCGCACAUUCCACCUCAUCGGUUUGAGACACAGAGACGAACUGGCUAACUUUCUCCUUUCGUGCGGUUCUACACGCUUACAACCAUGAUACAGCAUAUCUGUUGCUGACACAUCACCACCUUCAGGCGAACUGAAGUCUCCAAAAAAUAUCAUGCUGCAGUCUGGUGAAGCAUCUCUGCAACCAGCCAAGUUACUACCCGUACCUCCUCACUGUUGGACAUCAGAAGAGCAAGACUGACAGCUUCUGCAUUGUGAUGAAUAAGCAUCUCAACCCAUGCCAGGCAAACUGUUCUCUCAUGGCAUUUGAUUAACUUUUUAAAGCAUAUUUUGUGUUGAAUUUGUCUCAUGUUUGUAUAUGUUUUAUGAUUUAAAAGGUUAAUUAAAUGUCAUAGUUUAAAAAUUA